AAAAAGGGUCAGUUGGCUAAAUAUGCCACGCUCAUCCUUGUGGUGAGUGCUGUAUGGCCAUCUAGACAUAUGGCUGACAUAAUUUCUGGAACCUAAAGGGUUGGCUCGCUUUGGCCGACCCUGCA
rnacentral:snRNA from 1 species